UACGAAGGGGGCUAGCGUUGCUCGGAAUCACUGGGCGUAAAGGGUGCGUAGGCGGGUCUUUAAGUCAGGGGUGAAAUCCUGGAGCUCAACUCCAGAACUGCCUUUGAUACUGAAGAUCUUGAGUUCGGGAGAGGUGAGUGGAACUGCGAAGUGUAGAGGUGAAAUUCGUAGAUAUUCGCAAGAACACCAGUGGCGAAGGCGGCCAACUGGACCAUUACUGACGCUGAGG
rnacentral:rRNA from 1 species